GACGUAGGGCGCGAGCGUUGUCCGGAUUUAUUGGGCGUAAAGAGCUCGUAGGCGGUUUCGUAAGUCGGGUGUGAAAACCCCAGGCUCAACCUGGGGACGCCACCUGAUACUGCGAUGACUUGAGUCUGGUAGGGGAUCACGGAAUUCCUGGUGUAGCGGUGAAAUGCGCAGAUAUCAGGAGGAACACCGGUGGCGAAGGCGGUGAUCUGGGCCAGUACUGACGCUGAGGCACGAAGGCCAGGGGAGCAAACGGG
rnacentral:rRNA from 1 species